rnacentral:rRNA from 1 species
UAUAAGUGAUGGCGACCGGCGCACGGGUGAGUAACACGUAUCCAACCUGCCGAUAACUCGGGGAUAGCCUUUCGAAAGGAAGAUUAAUACCCGAUGGUAUAAUAAAGCCGCAUGGUUUAAUUAUUAAAGAAUUUCGGUUAUCGAUGGGGAUGCGUUCCAUUAGAUAGUAGGCGGGGUAACGGCCCACCUAGUCAACGAUGGAUAGGGGUUCUGAGAGGAAGGUCCCCCACAUUGGAACUGAGACACGGUCCAA